GUGGCGAGUGGCGGACGGGUGAGGAAUACAUCGGAAUCUACCUUUUCGUGGGGGAUAACGUAGGGAAACUUACGCUAAUACCGCAUACGACCUUCGGGUGAAAGCAGGGGACCUUCGGGCCUUGCGCGGAUAGAUGAGCCGAUGUCGGAUUAGCUAGUUGGCGGGGUAAAGGCCCACCAAGGCGACGAUCCGUAGCUGGUCUGAGAGGAUGAUCAGCCACACUGGAACUGAGACACGGUCCAGACUCCUACGGGAGGCAGCAGUGGGGAAUAUUGGACAAUGGGCGCAAGCCUGAUCCAGCCAUACCGCGUGGGUGAAGAAGGCCUUCGGGUUGUAAAGCCCUUUUGUUGGGAAAGAAAAGCAGUCGAUUAAUACUCGGUUGUUCUGACGGUACCCAAAGAAUAAGCACCGGCUAACUUCGUGCCAGCAGCCGCGGUAAUACGAAGGGUGCAAGCGUUACUCGGAAUUACUGGGCGUAAAGCGUGCGUAGGUGGUUGUUUAAGUCUGUUGUGAAAGCCCUGGGCUCAACCUGGGAAUUGCAGUGGAUACUGGGCGACUAGAGUGUGGUAGAGGGUAGUGGAAUUCCCGGUGUAGCAGUGAAAUGCGUAGAGAUCGGGAGG
rnacentral:rRNA from 1 species